GAUGAAGAACGUAGCGAAAUGCGAUAAGUAAUGUGAAUUGCAGAAUUCCGUGAAUCAUCGAAUCUUUGAACGCACAUUGCGCCCCCUGGCAUUCCGGGGGGCAUGCCUGUCCGAGUGUCAUUUCUGCCCUCCAGCCCGGCUGGGUGUUGGGCGCUGUCCCCCCGGGGACACGCCCCAAAGGCAGUGGCGGCGCCGCGUCGGGUCCUCGAGCGUAUGGGGCUUUGUCACCCGCUCGGGACGGACUCGUCGGCGCUGGUCUUCCUCCAGGCGACCCUUCGGGGCUCGUCUUCCUUCGGUUGACCUCGGAUCAGGUAGGGUUACCCGCUGAACUUAAGCAUAUCAAUAAGCGGAGGA
rnacentral:misc_RNA from 1 species